AUUGAACGCUGGCGGCAGGCCUAACACAUGCAAGUCGAGCGGAGCGGCGGACGGGUGAGUAAUGCCUAGGAAUCUGCCUGGCAGCGGGGGCUAACGUCCGGAAACGGGCGCCAAUAUCGCAUACUAUCAGAUGAGCCUAGGUGGGAUUAGCUAGUUGGUGGGGUAAAGGCCUACCAAGGCGACGACCCGUAACUGGUCUGAGAGGAUGAUCAGUCACACUGAAACUGAUACACGGUCCGGACUCCUACGUGAGGCAGCAUGGAGGAAUGUUGAUCCGUGGGCGGAAGCCUGAUCCAGCCAGGCCGCGUGUGUGAAGGAGGUCUUCGGAUUGUAAGGCACUUUAAGUUGGGAGGCGUUACCAACAGAAUAAGCACCGGCUAACUUCGUGCCAGCAGCCGCGGUAAUUC
rnacentral:rRNA from 1 species